rnacentral:rRNA from 1 species
UACGUAGGCAGCAAGCGUUGUUCGGAAUUACUGGGCGUAAAGAGUGUGUAGGCGGUUUUCUAAGUUUGGUGUGAAAUCUCCCGGCUUAACUGGGAGGGUGCGCCGAAAACUGGAAGGCUUGAGUGCCGGAGAGGAUAGCGGAAUUCCCGGUGUAGCGGUGAAAUGCGUAGAUAUCAGGAGGAACACCGGUGGCGAAGGCGGGUCUCUGGGCCGAUACUGACGCUGGAGGAGCGAAAGCGUGGGGAGCAAACAGG